UCACAGAGAUAGUUCUGAACACGUUCUCCUACUGAGGCUUUGCGGCUAAUCGCAGCGGAGCUUAUUAGCGCCUGACAUUUUUAUCCAUGAGCCGAGGGCUAACGGGCGCCGCCCGCCUCGGCCCUGGGGCACCUCGGGACUCACCUGAAAUAAAUCCGAUACCUGAGCCGCAGCAAUCGAUUUCACGUCAACCGCAGAAGUUUUCAGGAUGUGCCGGUGGGGUUUGGGGUUCGGGAGCGUGGAGAGUAAGAUAGAGAGGACGAGGGAGGAAGAGAAAUCUUUGAGAAGGAGUGAGAGAAAUCUUAAUUAGAGUUAACCGUGGUCCACCGACAGGACUGGAGGAGGAAUUACACAUUUACGAACAUGGCGGGCACUCGUAAAUCAGCACACACACCCAACUCUGCCCAGUGGUGGCUGUCAGGCGCUGAUUUACUGCGAUUCACCGCUAAAACAUCCAUACAUGAGGGGAAAGUGUCACGUUCCAUUCGCUCGCUGGGAAUCGAGCUGGUAGGAAACCGAUGACAACAUCUGGAUGUGAUUUUCGGGGUGAAAUAUGAAAUGCAAAGCGUUGCAGAAGCACACAGGAUGAUGGAUUGUGAUUACGGGUUUGAGUGGCAACAAUAUUUGUGGUUACUUUUGGUCAGAGCGGUUUCUGAUGAGUAUGAAAUAAAGAUCGCUACAUGUCAGGAUAGCAUGAUAAAAUGUUAUAUUAAAACAUAUAAUCAGGGAUUAAACAGGGAACAAAUAUUCACUUUCAAUUUCAUGUUUUCAAAGAUAACGAUAUUAAAUCCAGUCUAAUUAGUAAUACAUACAUUGAGCAUACUAAUAACUAACAGUUAUCAUUAAGAGCUUAGUUAGUCAAUAACUAUUUACUAAUUACUGACUAUUACAAAUCCAAUGAACUAAUAAGGAGGUUUGUUUAUAUAAAGCGAAGUAAUGAUCGGUUAUUAAGCUAAUGAACUAAGCAUCAAUAUGAUAGUGUUUAAAACAU